rnacentral:rRNA from 1 species
CACGUAGGGUGCGAGCGUUGUCCGGAAUUAUUGGGCGUAAAGGGCUCGUAGGCGGUUUGUCGCGUCGGGGAGUGAAAACACCGGGCUUAACUCGGUGCUUGCUUUCGAUACGGGCAGACUAGAGGCAUGCAGGGGAGAACGGAAUUCCUGGUGUAGCGGUGAAAUGCGCAGAUAUCAGGAGGAACACCGGUGGCGAAGGCGGGUCUCUGGGCCGAUACUGACGCUGAGGAGCGAAAGCGUGGGGAGCAAACAGG